GUAGGUGGCAAGCGUUGUCCGGAAUUAUUGGGCGUAAAGCGCGCGCAGGCGGUUCUUUAAGUCUGAUGUGAAAGCCCACGGGCUCAACCGUGGAGGGUCAUUGGAAACUGGAGAACUUGAGUACAGGAGAGGAAAGCGGAAUUCCACGUGUAGCGGUGAAAUGCGUAGAGAUGUGGAGGAACACCAGUGGCGAAGGCGGCUUUCUGGUCUGUAACUGACGCUGAGGCGCGAAAGCGUGGGGAGCAAACAGGAUUAGAUACCCUGGUAGUCCACGCCGUAAACGAUGAGUGCUAAGUGUUAGGGGGUUUCCGCCCCUUAGUGCUGCAGCUAACGCAUUAAGCACUCCGCCUGGGGAGUACGGCCGCAAAGGCUG
rnacentral:rRNA from 1 species